UCACCUGCAAACCUACCUUCAGUUUUAGCUCGUGGAUUGGAAUUCCUGGGAAGAUCAUGUUGCUAAGGAGCUCUGUUGCACACAUAUUCUCCAUUGUGUUGUAAUUCAUUGUUGCCUGGCACACAGUGUCCAAGUAUAGGAUUGCUCUUUCUUCGAGAAAUUCACGGUUACGAUAGUCUUGCUGCAAGUUUGGAUCGUAAUAUCCAUUCUGCAAAUUCGGCCACAUUUUGCUUUUCUAUUGGAUCUUCUGACAGACUUUAGCCGCAUGUUUUCAGUUAGUCUAAAUAUUUCGAAGUACUUCCAUAGGCCAAAAGUGCUUUGGCGUCACUUCUUCCGAGGUCGAUUGGAGUAGCUGGGCAUGGCUUUGUCAUGCGUUGAGUGUGCUUUGGCGUGACUUCGUCGGACGUAGAGUGAAGCGGCUGGAGGUGGCUUUGCGUAUCAAACGUCGAGUUGCCCAGUUGCGUGUGAUGUCUUCAAGCCAUCUGAGUUGCCGAGUCGCGUGUGAUGUCUUCAAGCCAUCUUGGUUGCCGACAUCUAAAUUUUUGGUGUGUGCUUCUGCGGCCGGCUGUACUUGUUUAUAUAUGGGUGGAGGUGCGUGGGUUGAGGUGGCCGAGACCAUGAAAGCAGAUCGGAAACCUGUCUUUUUUUCAUGUCUUGGUUCCUGUUUUGGAACUUCCUCACGUGAGGUCUGGUUAGGUCCAAUCGUUGUCCUUAUUUGUUUAGGUUUCCUACUAUUUUUGCUUCCUUGAC